UCCGGCUUAUCACCGGCAGUCCCUCUAGAGUGCCCAACUUAAUGCUGGCAACUAAAGGCGAGGGUUGCGCUCGUUGCGGGACUUAACCCAACAUCCCACGACACGAGCUGACGACAGCCAUGCAGCAUCUGUGUGGCACCCUCGAAGGUCACACGUUUCCGUGCGCUUGCAGCCACAUGUCAAGCCCAGGUAAGGUUCUUCGCGUUGCAUCGAAUUGAGCCACAUGCUCCGCCGCUUGUGCGGGCCCCCGCCAAUUCCUUUGAGUUUUAGCCUUGCGGCCGUACUCCCCAGGCGGGGCACUUAAUGCGUUAGCUGCGGCACGGAAUCCGUCGAUAGGACCCCACACCUAGUGCCCAACGUUUACGGCGUGGACUAC
rnacentral:misc_RNA from 1 species